UGGGGAAUAUUGCACAAUGGGCGCAAGCCUGAUGCAGCCAUGCCGCGUGUAUGAAGAAGGCCUUCGGGUUGUAAAGUACUUUCAGCGGGGAGGAAGGCGAUAAGGUUAAUAACCUUGUCGAUUGACGUUACCCGCAGAGGAAGCACCGGCUAACUCCGUGCCAGCAGCCGCGGUAAUACGGAGGGUGCAAGCGUUAAUCGGAAUUACUGGGCGUAAAGCGCACGCAGGCGGUCUGUCAAGUCGGAUGUGAAAUCCCCGGGCUCAACCUGGGAACUGCAUUCGAAACUGGCAGGCUAGAGUCUUGUAGAGGGGGGGUAGAAUUCCAGGUGUAGCGGUGAAAUGCGUAGAGAUCUGGAGGAAUACCGGUGGCGAAGGCGGCCCCCUGGACAAAGACUGACGCUCAGGUGCGAAAGCGUGGGGAGCAAACA
rnacentral:rRNA from 1 species